UACAGAGGUCUCAAGCGUUGUUCGGAUUCAUUGGGCGUAAAGGGUGCGUAGGUGGCGUCGUAAGUCGGGUGUGAAAUUUCGGAGCUUAACUCCGAAACUGCAUUCGAUACUGCGGUGCUUGAGGACUGGAGAGGAGACUGGAAUUUACGGUGUAGCAGUGAAAUGCGUAGAGAUCGAUAAGGAAGACCAGUGGCGAAGGCGGGUCUCUGGACAGUUCCUGACACUGAGGCACGAAGGCCAGGGGAGCAAAACGGG
rnacentral:rRNA from 1 species